UUGCCCACUUUGGCAGCACGCACACUAAAACUGGAAUGAUAGAGCAAGGUAGCAUAGCCCCUGCCCAAGGAUGACACACAAAUUUGUGAAGCGUUCCAUAUUUUG